GACGAACGCUGGCGGCGUGCCUAAUACAUGCAAGUCGAGCGCAGGAAGUCAUCCGAACCCUUCGGGGGGACGUUGACGGAAUGAGCGGCGGACGGGUGAGUAACACGUAAAGAACCUGCCCUCAGGUCUGGGAUAACCACGAGAAAUCGGGGCUAAUACCGGAUGGGUCAUCGGACCGCAUGGUCCGAGGAUGAAAGGCGCUUCGGCGUCGCCUGGGGAUGGCUUUGCGGUGCAUUAGCUAGUUGGUGGGGUAACGGCCCACCAAGGCGACGAUGCAUAGCCGACCUGAGAGGGUGAUCGGCCACACUGGGACUGAGACACGGCCCAGACUCCUACGGGAGGCAGCAGUAGGGAAUCUUCCACAAUGGACGAAAGUCUGAUGGAGCAACGCCGCGUGAACGAUGAAGGCCUUCGGGUCGUAAAGUUCUGUUGUAAGGGAAGAACAAGUGCCGCAGGCAAUGGCGGC
rnacentral:rRNA from 1 species